AUGACUCUUAUACUUAAAUUUGAUUUAUUUAAAAGUAACUGAACUUUUAAAACAGUAACUUUUAAAACCCUAAACACUAACAAAACCAAACCUCAUCAUGCCGUCUCUUCUCCGCUGCAACGGCCUCUCCAUCUCCCCCUUACCUCCGCAACCCACGCGCCACCUCAAAUUUAUUGUCCCUCCAACCCUAAACAUCAAACCCUCAAAACCUUCGCGCCACGUUACGGUGCGCGCCGAGGUGAAGGAGACCGCCGCAACCGCCUCUUCCUCCGACGAGAAGAUCCGUGAAAUCCUCCGCAACCGCGACUAUGUUGACAAGUUCGGAUUCAGCAGAAACAUCAAUUCCGAGUCGAUCCCUAAAGGCCUCUCCAAAGAAACUAUUCGUCUGAUCUCGUCCCUGAAAAAGGAACCUCAAUGGAUGCUGGAAUUCCGCUUGAAGGCAUUUGAGAAAUUCCUGUCCAUGAAAGUCCCUACCUGGUCCGACAACAGCUACCCUCCUAUCGAUUUCCAGGAUAUCUGCUACUACUCGGAUCCCACGGCUCCCACGGCUCCCAAGAAGAACGACUGUCUGAAAUCCCUCGAAGACGCCGAUCCCAAGAAGAAUGACUCUCUGAAAUCCCUCAAAGACGCCGAUCCCAAAAUUCUCCUCUACUUCGAGGACCUCGGCGUUCCUCUCGACGAGCAGAAGCGUCUCGCAAACGUCGCCGUCGACGCCGUCCUCGACAGCGUCUCCAUAGGCACCACCCACCGCAAAACCCUGGAGAAGGCCGGGGUCAUAUUCUGCUCCAUCUCCGACGCUAUUAAGGAGUACCCCGAGUUAGUCCGCAAGUACUUAGGGAGGGUCGUGCCCUCCGAUGACAACUACUACGCCGCGUUGAACUCCGCCGUCUUCAGCGACGGUUCGUUCUGCUACAUUCCCAAAGACACCAAGUGCCCGAUGCAGAUCUCCACCUACUUCAGAAUCAACGCGCUGGAAACGGGGCAGUUUGAGCGGACUUUGAUCGUUGCCGACGACAGGAGCUUUGUAGAGUAUUUGGAAGGGUGCACUGCGCCGUCCUAUGAUCGGAACCAGCUCCACGCAGCGGUGGUGGAGUUGCACUGUGGGGAAGGGGCGGAGAUAAAGUACUCCACGGUGCAGAAUUGGUACGCUGGGGAUGAGAAUGGGAAAGGUGGGAUUUACAAUUUCGUGACGAAGAGAGGAGUGUGUGACGGGUCGCGGUCGAAGAUAUCGUGGACGCAGGUGGAGACGGGUUCUGCGAUCACGUGGAAGUAUCCGAGUGUUGUGUUGGAGGGAGAUGAUAGUGUUGGGGAGUUCUGUUCUGUUGCUUUGACGAAUAACUAUCAGCAGGCUGAUACGGGGACCAAGAUGAUACACAAAGGGAAGAACACAAGGAGUAGGAUUAUCUCCAAGGGUAUAUCCGUUGGACAUUCCAGGAACUGUUAUAGAGGGCUGGUUCAGGUUCUGUCCAAGGCGGACAAUGCGCGAAAUUCAUCGCAGUGUGACUCCAUGCUUAUUGGGGACAAUGCAGCUGCCAAUACCUAUCCUUACAUUCAGGUGAAAAAUCCAACUGCAAGAAUUGAACAUGAAGCCAGUACAUCUAAAAUUGGAGAAGAUCAACUGUUCUAUUUUCAGCAAAGGGGAAUAGACUAUGAAAAAGCAAUGGCCGCAAUGAUCUCUGGCUUUUGCCGUGAUGUCUUCAAUGAGCUUCCUGAUGAAUUUGGUUCUGAGGUGAACCAACUCAUGAGCUUGAAGCUUGAGGGCUCGGUAGGUUAAACAGUUUGUUAAGCACAUUAUUUGGAAUUUGCUCAGGCCAUUUGUUCUUGAAGUUGUACAAGGCCAUAGAGGUGCUGCAUUCCGAAGGAUGUGUACAUGCUAUAUAUAGAUGUUGUCUUCAAGUUUACCACAAAAGGGCCCUCGAGCAUUACCAAUUUUCUACCUUAAUAAGUUAUCACUAUUUUACUGUUCAUUCGGAUUUGCGAGCGACGAAUAGAUUACGCUGUGGUGUUCGUUUGAGCGGAUAAGGAGGGAUUAGCGACGAUGGAUUUGUGGGAUGAAGUCGAUUUUCGUCACUCGCAUAAACGAAGAGAUUUACGUGGAUUGUUACGGAAAAGUCAUGUGUACCCUCCACUUAUUACUUGAUUUAUGUGUAACGUAUUUUGAUGUAUGUGCAACCAUUGGUUUUGGUUUUGAUUUCGCAUGUUUGUAGACUGAGAGGAAGAAUGACAUUGUGUGUGUUGAUGGCAUGAAGAAGCAAUGGAAUGAAGAAGCAGCUGAAUCCGCGUGUGUGAGAGUCGAAGAAGAUGAUGAACAGUAGAAAGAGGGUGGCGUAACCGAUUACAGCAGAAUCGUAACCGGUUACAGUGGUAUGAAGUUUUUGCUGGCAUGUGUAAUCGGUUACGUAAACGGGUAACUGAGUACACGGCUAUCUGUAUUCGGUUACUUAGGGGUAUUUUGAACAUGGGGUUGGAUGGGGUUUUUAAAAGUAUGUCCUCAGAAGAGCUUUUACAGCACAGGAGGCACAUAUGAGGUCUCAAAUAAAUCUCCUGUGGGGUACCAUUCUGUACGAACUCUCAAUUGUGGAGUUCAAAUCAGGGCUACCUGUGUGGUAUGAAACUCUUGCGGCUUCAGUUGAGAAAUUUGAACUUGCAGGAGCUUCUCCAACAGAUAUAGCUGUAAUUUUGAAGAACCACUGUUCAAAUAAUACUGCAGUAGAUGGUCUUGCCUUCAAAAUUGAUGAAAUAGUAGAGGCAUGGAAGGAGAUGUACAAAGCUAAAAUGUGGAAGAGUGGAGUUCCAUCAUUUCGUUUGGAACCCUUAUUCAGAAGUUUCAAAAACUUAUCAUGCCUUUGAGCUUGCAUGAGUUGAAUAUUUUCUUCGAGUACUUGAAGAUUGACACGGUCAACAGUCACCAAGGCUGCUUCUGUGCCUGAAAUGCUAUUGUCAUCAGAAGGUUAAUCAUACUGCUUUUAAAAGAAUGUGGGUUCACCAAUAUACUUGAGAUAUUCUUUCAAUGGUGUUUAAAUUUCCAAAUACACAAGGGUCUAGAAGUUCUUUACACCUUGGAAAGAUGGCGUUGCAGGAAUUACCUUUUACUUUAGUUUCUGCUUUUGCUCAUUUUUCUCGCCCUUCAUUUAGUUGGUAGAUUUGUAGGAUGUUAAAUUUGUACCAAAAGCAAGCAGCGGGAGAUGCAUGUUCCUUUUUCUUGUUAUUUAUCGAUGUGUAAUCUACUCUUUCAUCUUUGUUGAGGUAGUCUCUUUCUGAAAGAGUUUUCCUCCUACUAUG